GGCAUGGAUGGUGACCCUUCUGUCCAGUCUAGCCUGGCCGUGCUGGCCCUGAGGCCUGGAACUGGGGAGCACGAGCAGGAUGACAUCUCCAGUGUCUGUCUGGGUUGCCUGUUAGCGGAUGAGAAGUCCAGCCUUACUGCCUGUCUUCCGCCUGCAUUUAGGCUUCAUCCCUGGAAUGUCAUCUUCUGUCCACUGGAAAACGUCUAGGCUCUGCUGCCAUACAGAACCCUUCUGCUUCCUUAAGGAGACGGUCCACUGUCCCCUUGUCUUCUCUCCUCUAAGCAAGAGGGGCCCCUGCCCUUUGCCCUUUCCUGGAUGGAGCAUGAGUUUUGAUGUCAGGCAGGUCUGGGUUUGAAGCCUCGUUUGUCUUGCCUUCAGAAUAACCUCUCUAAGCCUCAGUUUUGUAGCCUGAAAAUGGGGAUGAUUAUAACUCCUGAAGGGAAGUUUUGGGAUUGGCUGAUACAUAAGAUACUUAGCACAGUGCCUGGCACACAGUAAGCGAUCAAUACAUGGUAGCAUUUAUA
rnacentral:sRNA from 1 species